AUGAUUGGCAGUUGGACGUUGAGACUGGUGCUGCAGGCUCAAGAUGUCAGCAAAAUCUACACCACGGUACACUUCAAAGUAACCGGUAUAGCCCCGGUGGUGGGCUACGAUCUAGACUUGUGCAGGGAUCAGGAUGGAGAGGAUGAGACCUGGGAACGUGUAUGUGACAUUUGGUCCAAGGACUUUGCGGCCGAGCCAGUGAGCCUUUGCCUGAUUCACGAUGACAUCAAGCGAAAAGUAAAUGCUUGCGUUUUCCCACUCCGAAGCAUAGCUUUGGCCGAAAAGUAUGUAAAAAAGGUAAGAGGCGCAUUGACCUUUGGAGAUUUCUGCCCUGACAGGGGUUACUACCUGCCCCGAGAUGGUAACACCGCUGCCCUGUGCUCGGACGUCAUGUAUGGCAGGAUGUACUUUGUAGCCUCAAACAAACUCACAAACAAGGUGAAGACCGUCUCUGCCUCUGAACUAAUCUACGAUCACGACAAGUCAGAGGCCGAGGCUAGAGCGUUUGACACUAAGCACAUGCCCCACUUCUACAAAGCAGCUUGUGUUGAUAUAGAGACCGUGUUUGACGCGUCAUAUCGAGACAAAUCCCUGCGGUGCGACUCCUUUGCCUACAAGUUUCCUUACUGCACAGAGCAUACAGUCACGGACAUGACAGAGUACAGGAAUAAGGUGGUUCAGGCUCUAAAUGCGGCCAAAAAACAAUUGCCCUUAGGCAAAAAUAGGCAGGUCUCUAUUCCUUCUCUGGCGCCCGACAUGUCAGGUCAGCAGCACGAGAUAACAUGCGUUUCCCUAGUGAUCCUCAACACACACAAGCCAAAGACGUCACAGGAAUGCCAUAGGAAAAAGCUGAUAGUUCUCUACAAUAAAACCAAAGUGACAGGCAACCGGCGUCCUGAGGUCGACCAACAAUUGGCCGCUGGCGCCGGUUUAGACGAUGUUAAAAGAAUUUCGUUUUACCCGUGCUCUGGAGAACUCGCUUUGCUUCAAAAGAUGAUCAGUUUGCUGCACAACCACGGCAUAGAACUGCUGUAUGUGUACAAUGCAGAAUUUGACGUGCGGGUGAUUGAUCAGCGUGUGCAUUUCUAUGCCGAAUCCAACUACACAAAGCAUUUAAAGGACGCGACUCAGAAGCAACAAUGCUCCUCACUGCUGCAAGCCUGGCACGGCCUCUUUGUGCCUAGAGACCUGGCAAAGGACGCGGCACCUUUCUUCCAAUUUGAAAAUGUGCGUUACCUACACAUGUACAGAGAGAUGCUGAAGAACGUAGGCUCGCUGGUAUUGAGCGGUGCCUUCACUGAGUACAAGCUACAACUGGUGUCUGCCUUUAUUGAAAAGUUCAACAGGGAGAAGGCUAAGCUGGGUCACUUUAAAAUGAACAGCUGCGGCAUGAACAUCAUAGAUCUGUACAGGAUGGCGGGGACCAGAGAGAUAAAGUUUGCCUGCACCAGCAUGAAGCUGAACGACGUCGCACCCUUUGUUAUUGGCAAGAUCAGGGAGCUGCACGGCAAAUCUCCAAAGGAUGCCAGAAAGCUUUGCAAGCUGGCGGACGUCAGCUAUUCAAAAAUGGACGAGCUGAUCAGCGAGGGGGGGAAAAGUCUCUUUGCUGUGCUCAUCUACAACUUGGUAGACUCACAGCUUUGCGCCAGGAUGGCUAAGGUCCUCAGACCCGUGUCGGCUCUAUUCCAUCGAUGCAGAACCACUCUGAACAUAGACGUAGUGGUGCACGGAAGAGGGGAUAACUUUGGCGGUUUCGUGCAAAGCAUCCACUCGGUCCAGAUCCCUCAGCUCAAGAUUAAGAUGGACGCGCUCAGAGUCAAUGCCGGACCCGUGGGUAUGAGGUUGAGCAGCCGUCUGCGAUGGAACCCCACGGAGCUCAAUGUUGGAGACGGAGAAAAGUGGAAGGGAGGAGCGGUGUGCGAUCCUCUCACGGGCCUGCACUACUCCGGGCCCGGCAUGGGCCUGGAGCUAUCGUUUGACUUUUCCAGUAUGUACCCGUCCAUCAUGUGUGCCCUCAACAUCUCACCAGAGACUACAAUUCCCUGGCCUCCGGUGACAUUCCCUCACGAUCUGUCUGGUUGGCUGUGUUACAACUGGGAAAACGAAGGUUUUGAGUAUGCCACGCUCAUACUGAAAUACGACAAAUUUUCAUCAAGGUGGCUUUGUUCGGGGGCGCCUGCAGUGUUCUCUUCCUCUGUGGAGCACUAUCUCAACCGUAGAGCCCACUUCAAGAAUAAAAUAAAAAUGCCUGACAUUGGCGAGGCUGAGCGGGUCUAUUACAAGAUGCAGGAAAGUGAGUGUAAAGUGCUGGCCAACUCUUUCUAUGGGACGGCUCCCCAUCCCUGUGGACCCCUUAUAUCUGGCCACGGUAGACGACAGAUUUCUGUGGUCAACAGCUGCGUGUCCGCUUUUUACCGCCACCGCUGCCCCGUAGUCUACGGAGACACAGACAGCGUCAUGGUUUCGGUGGGCUACGGACCAGAAGAUAAUCCAGAGAGCGAUGUGCCUGAGGAGGUGGACACGUGUGCAGACAGGGCGGAGGGUCUGGAGGCAGACCUCCUGGCACGAUUUGCCCACAAGGCUCGACGGGUUAUGGGUGACAAGUUCAAGAGAGCCGGGGCGCAAGUUCCCCCUUUCCUGGACUUUGUGCACAGUGCUCUAGUGGAGGACACCCUCGAUAGGAUGUACGUGAUAGGCAGAGGAAACACGCACCAAAAGGUAGUCAGAGACCCGCAGGAGAGAUUCACAGAGGAAGGGUAUCCUGUGUAUGUAGGCAAGGUGCCAGGAUCUGAAGAGCUAGCGGACGUGACACGGCCCUUUGUGAAAGGCAGGAGAGUCAAGCUGGAAUAUGAAAACAGUUGUUCGGUGUAUUGCCACGUGGCUAAGAAGACGUACGUGGCACUAACUCACAACCUGGAUGCCAAGGGUGAGCUCUCUUCGGUUUGCGUGAAGGUCAGGGGACUGUCUGCCUUCAAAAGCAUGCGCUCACCGUGUGACUCUGCAGUCACGGAUGCCUUCAUAGCGUGCGUCAUGAGGGGAGAUUGCGUCAAGUUGGAGACAGACAAUGUCUUGUGCUUUUCCACCUGCGCCUGGCAUCAGCUCAAAGCGGGAGAUGUGAUUCUGUACCCGGGACGGGAGCCUCUUGUGGAUGACCUGGGCCAGUGGCUGGAGCUCCAUCUAGCACACUCCUUUCUCAUCCCCUACCGAGUGGAAGAUGUUACAACGUUGCAGCUGGACUCUGGUUUCUGCGCGGUAUCUGCGUCAAUCGUACCAGCACAAUGUCACCAGCCCGGAUCAGCCUUUCUCAGGGUGAGAACACUGCACAAGGAUGGGAAGUACUGCAUGAACCACUUGUUCUCGCGCAAGCAGGCCAUUCUCAGAGACCUGCUUGUGUGCAAAGCGUGCAAACUCAUCGCUUCCAAGAUGGGAGCCGGGUUCUUUCCUUGGAGUAGUCUCAUCAAAUCCUCAAAGAACAAACACUUUACUCAACAAACGCUAGAGCGCUUGAAAGCGCCCAGCUCAAGUGUCAAAACCACAUAUGUGGAAAUUGUCAAGACGUGGCUACAGCAGAUCACGGGUCUCUCUGUCAAGCCUGUGGAAUGCAACGAGUUUCACAAGUGCAACCCGUGCGAAGCCGCUUUCUACAGAUACCCGUUGAAUCUCCGGGCCAACGCGGGCUGCAUCACGGCCAUGUUUGGUGGCUCGCUCUUGUGUGAAGGCGCAAAGACCAAAAAUGUCUCCUCUGAUGGAGAGGAAUGUGCAGGAAAAUCAGAAGGAGACGACGGUUCGUCCGGGCAUGACAGACAGACUCCAGAGUCCGCCGUAGACUUCUGCUCUCACACGAAGCUCAUCCCUCACCCGUACCAGCCUUUGAACAAAUGUUUUGCCAACUCCAGGGUGUUGAUCGCCCACCACGCGGACCGCACCUUGGUCAAUCGUUCCGGCAAACUUUUGGCUCACUGCAUCGUAGACUACUGCUUGCCACGCCACAUGUACAGCUCUGCAUUGAGCUCUCGGUGUCUGGAUGAUUGCAAAGAACACCUGGUGACGGUCGUCACCUGCGUGAGAGAGAGGUUGAAGAGGGCCAGCGCGGCUUUCAACACCAUUAUGAACAACUGCCCCGAGCACAUGAUACCAGCGUGCGGGACCAGGGAAUUUGACUUGCUCAAGACAAACAGGGAGCGUGUGGCUCGUCUGCCCGGUGAGAAACUCCAGGCUUGUCUCAAGGUUAUUACUGAUGACAUGUCCCUGCAGCCUUGCGAUGUGUACAGGAAUUUGAGCGUCUCACUGGGAAAGAGGCUAACCAAAGCCAUUUCUGAAGGCGUCGUCUCUCACGGAGGUGGCGAGGCCUCUCUACUGGCCCACGCAGAAGCCAGCAUCUGCCUUUUGGUGCCCAGUGUCAUGCUGACAGAUGCUGGGAUUCCUUCCUCCACCGGUAGGCUUGUUAUAGCGAGUAGUGUUUUGUGCGAGAGAGCGCUAGUGGACUUGGCCGGUCUUCUGUACCAGACACUGCUCAUGUUGCAGAUACAAACUCCAAAUGCUUUCAGCUCAGCUGCCGUCAUAUAUCCAGAGUCUGUCCUCUGCAUUAUGCCUUUCUCUUGCGCCGAUGUGGACCUGAUGCAAAGAUGGAUCGAAACAUUCAAGGAGAAAAAAUGGCUCAAGGUCACAGGGGUCAAGAUGGGCAAGAGAAAAAGGUCUGACUGCCAGAGCGAGGUCAAGUAUCAUUGCACAGGCUGCAAAAACUUCUACAGGGAUCUGUUUGCAAACAAAGUGCCGGCUAACAGGCUUGUCCAGUACGUCUACGAUAAAAACAAGAGAAGAAAGAUAGGACAGUGUGUCCAAGAAAGAAGGUGGCUUUCAUGAUCUCAGCGUGGGGCAAACAUCUAUUUUUUUUUUCUUCUCUCUCUCUCUCUCUCUCUCUCUCUCUCUCUCUCUCUCUCUCUCUCUCUCUCUCUCUCUCUCUCUCUCUCUCUCUCUUGCCACAUCGCUACUCACAGAGCCCCGACAAAGAGUCCUCACAGAGGUUCCCAUAGAUAAAGUUACUUAUCUUUCCUCCUUUCCAUACAGCUUGGUCACGCGCUGUUUAAAGAUGACUUUCAGUCAGAAAGAGUAUGUCUUCUCCCACACUAUGGCCAAAGUGAGUCAGGCUCAUCAGCCUGCGUUAUUCAAAGUCGACUUGCACAGCCUAAUACCCUUUGGUGGUCAGUGUAGUCCUCUGUUUGUUGUGGAAAACAUGAGCGUCACUGCGUACAAGCAAGGAACCUUGGAGAAAAUACCAGUUCACUUCACCGUUCUCAGUGACAACAAGAGAAGAGUCCUCACGAAUGACCCGUGCAAACUCUCCUCCAAGUGGAAAGUCGAGCUCGACUGUGGAUCUUGCAUGAAGAUAGCGGGCACAGACACGGUGCCUUUCAUGCGCACGCUGCCAGUUUACGAGGAAGAAAACAGGCAGGCUCUUCUCAAUGCCUUGGCUUUCAUGAUGUCCAACAGCCUCUGGGCCUCUGACAGAGCUAGAGGAGCUUUGGAUGUUGUGACAGAGUCGACACGAGGAGAGUUUCAUUUCACGUGUGAACUGUGUUUGGAUCGUGGCGUGGCCUGUGUCACAAAAGGUCCCAGCGGACAUCCCUUGUUUUCAUUCUGUCAGUGUGGUGAUGGCUACUUGUGCAUACCUUCGGCGCAGCCCUGCGCCGACGAAGACUAUAAAGCCCUCAGAAAACUGAUGGAUCUGUUGCGAUGUGCAUCUGUCGACAAUCUUGGCAUUUUGAAACGAAUCACCCAAGAGAUGGCCUCGGACCGAACCUUUCAGGAUCUCGACUGUGGCGUUUUUCCUCCUAGACACAUGUACAUGGGGAACAUCUUAAUCCCAUACGCGCUGAUGAAAUACAUCAUCUCUCUGUACCAGACCAUGAGCGAGUACGUUGACAACUUUGCAGUCAUAGAUGAAAAAACACCCCAUGUCCAAGUCUUGAUCGAGAGCCCCUCAGAGAACAUAGGUGUGAUUACCGGGCAAAUGGCUCUGACUGUCAUCUACGGAGCGGCACUCUCCACAAUUUACAGCAAACUCAACCAUGGCUCUCAAUACCUGGAGGGAUGUCAAGGACACGAACAAGUGAAAAGUCUUGCCAACAUCACACAAUUGACCAGCGACGUGUUGAUCCGAAGGACGCCUUUGAAUUUUACGUUGAAUAAUCAUAUGUCAUUGAAAGACUGGUAUGAGUUUUACUAUGGUUGAAGUGAUGUAUAAAAACCAAUGUUGUUACAUUGAGCUAACAGUGACAGGUAUAUUUUGUUACUGCAAAGUAUUCUUGGGUGAAAACAAAUGUCUUUGAAACACAUUACUAUUGCUUACUAAAUAAACAAACGACAGGUCCUGACUUGUUUUGAAUG
ensembl:lncRNA